AGCUCCAAUAGCGUAUAUUUAAGUUGUUGCAGUUAAAAAGCUCGUAGUUGGAUUUCGGGUGGGACCCGCCUGUCCGCCUUUGGGUGUGCACGGGCGCGGUCGCACCUUGCUGGCGGAGACGGGCUCCUGGGCUUCAUUGUCCGGGACCCGGAGUCGCCGAGGUUACUUUGAGUAAAUUAGAGUGUUCAAAGCAGGCCUACGCUCUGAAUACGUUAGCAUGGAAUAACACGAUAGGACUCUGGCCUAUCUUGUUGGUCUGUGGGACCGGAGUAAUGAUUAAGAGGGACAGUCGGGGGCAUUCGUAUUUCAUUGUCAGAGGUGAAAUUCUUGGAUUUAUGAAAGACGAACUUCUGCGAAAGCAUUUGCCAAGGAUGUUUUCA
rnacentral:rRNA from 1 species